AAAAACACAGGUCCGUGCGAAGUCGUAAGACGAUGUAUACGGACUGACGCCUGCCCGGUGCCGGAACGUUAAGGGGAGCGCUUAGCUGGCGUAAGCUGGCGAAGGUGAGAACUUAAGCGCCGGUAAACGGCGGUGGUAACUAUAACCAUCCUAAGGUAGCGAAAUUCCUUGUCGGGUAAGUUCCGACCUGCACGAAUGGCGUAACGACUUCCCCGCUGUGUAAGUUCCGACCUGCACGAAUGGCGUAACGACUUCCCCGCUGUCUCAACCGCAGACCCGGCGAAAUUGCAUUACGAGUAAAGAUGCUCGUUACGCGCAGCAGGACGGAAAGACCCCGGGACCUUCACUACAGCUUGACAUUGGCGUUUGGAGCGUCUUGUGUAGGAUAGGUGGGAGACUGGGAAGCUCGGACGCUAGUUCGGGUGGAGUCAUUGGUGAAAUACCACUCUGGUCGUUUUGAACGUCUAACUCUGGUCCGUGAUCCGGAUCGGGGACAGUGUCUGGUGGGUAGUUUAACUGGGGCGGUUGCCUCCUAAAGGGUAACGGAGGCGCCCAAAGGUUCCCUCAGCCUGGUUGGUAAUCAGGUGUCGAGUGUAAGUGCACAAGGGAGCUUGACUGUGAGACUGACGGGUCGAGCAGGAGCGAAAGCUGGGACUAGUGAUCCGGCAUCGGCAUGUGGAAGCGGUGUCGCUCAACGGCUAAAAGGUACCCCGGGGAUAACAGGCUGAUCUUCCCCAAGAGUCCAUAUCGACGGGAUGGUUUGGCACCUCGAUGUCGGCUCGUCGCAUCCUGGGGCUGGAGUAGGUCCCAAGGGUUGGGCUGUUCGCCCAUUAAAGCGGUACGCGAGCUGGGUUUAGAACGUCGCGAGACAGUUCGGUCCCUAUCCGCUGCGCGCGUAGGAGACUUGAAAGGGGCUGUCCCUAGUACGAGAGGACCGGGACGGACGAACCUCUGGUGUGCCAGUUGUACCGCCAGGUGCACGGCUGGUUGGCUACGUUCGGAAGGGAUAACCGCUGAAAGCAUCUAAGCGGGAAGCUCGCCUUGAGAUGAGGUCUCCCACCACGAGAGUGGGUAAGGCUCCCGGUAGACGACCGGGUUGAUAGGCCGGAGGUGGAAGCGCGGUAACGUGUGGAGCUGACCGGUACUAAUAGGCCGAGGACUUGACCAC
rnacentral:rRNA from 1 species